rnacentral:rRNA from 1 species
AACGAACGCUGGCGGCAGGCUUAACACAUGCAAGUCGAACGCCCCGCAAGGGGAGUGGCAGACGGGUGAGUAACGCGUGGGAAUCUACCGUACCCUACGGAACAACAGUUGGAAACGACUGCUAAUACCGUAUACGCCCUACGGGGGAAAGAUUUAUCGGGGUAUGAUGAGCCCGCGUUGGAUUGGCUAGUUGGUGGGGUAAAGGCCUACCAAGGCGACGAUCCAUAGCUGGUCUGAGAGGAUGAUCAGCCACAUUGGGACUGAGACACGGCCCAAACUCCUACGGAGGCAGCAGUGGGGAAUAUUGGACAAUGGGCGCAAGCCUGAUCCAGCCAUGCCGCGUGAGUGAUGAAGGUCUUAGGAUUGUAAAGCUCUUUCACCGAUGAAGAUAAUGACGGUAGUCGGAGAAGAAGCCCCGGCUAACUUCGUGCCAGCAGCCGCCGUAA